rnacentral:lncRNA from 1 species
AACACAAAGAGUGCAGAAACCGCAACAGAAGGUUGACCUGCCUAACGGUGGGAUGCUCUCAAGGGCCGCCUCGAGAAAGGACUUCCAUUUGGUUCAGCGGUCCACCGUCGCAAUAUGGUGGACAGAUGCCCACGCGCAUAGGAGCUUCACGGGAACGAACCGUUUUGCAGCAGCAGGCGGCCAGAAGCCUGCACAUCAGCCAUUGUCCCCACAUAAAGUGGGAGCAUAGAGAGUCUCUUCCAGGCACAACAGUGCUGCCCAAAGCCUUCC